rnacentral:rRNA from 1 species
GAUGAACGCUAGCUACAGGCUUAACACAUGCAAGUCGAGGGGAAACGAUGAGAGAGCUUGCUCUCUUAGUCGUCGACCGGCGCACGGGUGAGUAACGCGUAUCCAACCUGCCUCUGACCAAGGGAUAACCCGUCGAAAGUCGGACUAAUACCUUAUGCAGUCAUCGGAAGUCAUCUGAUGACGACGAAAGAUUUCAUCGGUGAGAGAUGGGGAUGCGUCUGAUUAGCUUGUUGGCGGGGUAACGGCCCACCAAGGCGACGAUCAGUAGGGGUUCUGAGAGGAAGGUCCCCCACAUUGGAACUGAGACACGGUCCAAACUCCUACGGGAGGCAGCAGUGAGGAAUAUUGGUCAAUGGGCGUAAGCCUGAACCAGCCAAGUAGCGUGCAGGAUGACGGCCCUAUGGGUUGUAAACUGCUUUUAUGCGGGGAUAAAGUGAGGGACGUGUCCUUCAUUGCAGGUACCGCAUGAAUAAGGACCGGCUAAUUCCGUG